CCUACGGGAGGCAGCAGUGGGGAAUAUUGCACAAUGGGGGAAACCCUGAUGCAGCGACGCCGCGUGAGUGAAGAAGUAUUUCGGUACGUAAAGCUCUAUCAGCAGGGAAGAAAAUGACGGUACCUGACUAAGAAGCACCGGCUAACUACGUGCCAGCAGCCGCGGUAAUACGUAGGGGGCAAGCGUGAUCCGGAUUUACUGGGUGUAAAGGGAGCCUAGACGGCAGCGCAAGUCUGGAGUGAAAGCCCAUGGCUUACCCACGGAACUGCUUUGGAAACUGUGCAGCUAGAGUGCAGGAGAGGUAAGCGGAAUACCUAGUGUAGCGGUGAAAUGCGUAGAUAUUAGGAGGAACACCAGUGGCGAAGGCGGCUUACUGGACUGUAACUGACGUUGAGGCUCGAAAGCGUGGGGAGCAAACAGGAUUAGAUACCCCGGUAGUC
rnacentral:rRNA from 1 species